AGCCAUGCAUGUCUAAGUAUAAGCAAUUAUACAGCGAAACUGCGAAUGGCUCAUUAUAUAAGUUAUCGUUUAUUUGAUAGUACCUUACUACUUGGAUAACCGUGGUAAUUCUAGAGCUAAUACAUGCUAAAAAUCCCGACUUCGGAAGGGAUGUAUUUAUUAGAUUAAAAACCAAUGCCCUCUGGGCUCCUUGGUGAUUCAUAAUAACUUUUCGAAUCGCAUGGCCUUGCGCCGGCGAUGGUUCAUUCAAAUUUCUUCCCUAUCAACUUUCGAUGUUUGGGUAUUGGCCAAACAUGGUCGCAACGGGUAACGGAGGGUUAGGGCUCGACCCCGGAGAAGGAGCCUGAGAAACGGCUACUACAUCCAAGGAAGGCAGCAGGCGCGCAAAUUACCCAAUCCCGAUUCGGGGAGGUAGUGACAAUAAAUACUGAUACAGGGCUCUUUUGGGUCUUGUAAUUGGAAUGAGUACAAUUUAAAUCCCUUAACGAGGAACAAUUGGAGGGCAAGUCUGGUGCCAGCAGCCGCGGUAAUUCCAGCUCCAAUAGCGUAUAUUAAAGUUGUUGUGGUUAAAAAGCUCGUAGUUGAACCUUGGGCCUGGCUGGCCGGUCCGCCUCACCGCGUGUACUGGUCCGGCCGGGCCUUUCCCUCUGUGGAACCUCAUGCCCUUCACUGGGUGUGGCGGGGAAACAGGACUUUUACUUUGAAAAAAUUAGAGUGCUCCAGGCAGGCCUAUGCUCGAAUACAUUAGCAUGGAAUAAUGAAAUAGGACGUGUGGUUCUAUUUUGUUGGUUUCUAGGACCGCCGUAAUGAUUAAUAGGGACAGUCGGGGGCAUCAGUAUUCAAUUGUCAGAGGUGAAAUUCUUGGAUUUAUUGAAGACUAACUACUGCGAAAGCAUUUGCCAAGGAUGUUUUCAUUAAUCAGGAACGAAAGUUAGGGGAUCGAAGACGAUCAGAUACCGUCGUAGUCUUAACCAUAAACUAUGCCGACUAGGGAUCGGACGAUGUUAUUUUUUGACGCGUU
rnacentral:rRNA from 1 species